rnacentral:lncRNA from 1 species
GUUGUGAUGUUUCGGUUUGUAUGUGUUAGUUUCCUGGUGCAGCUGGGCAGUUGGCUGCUGUGUGGGGUCGCGGUGUGCAGGAGGCAGAGGUGCAGGGGUCCUGCCUGCAGAUGAACGGUGGCUGCCCACAAAUGCCCUGGUGUCGCCUGCUGUGCUGCCAGGGUUCAGGUGCGGACAGCCACUUCCCAGCAGUGCCUGGUGAUGUCGAGUGCCACCACCCUGUCCUCGCUGUGCAGAGCCGGGUUGGCAUUGCAGGUGGGACCGCUGUGGAUGUCGGGCAGCAACGUCUCAACUGGAAAACACCAUAGUAAUGAGCCAGCUUUCCAUCAGCUGAUCCUAGUGAAACAAGCGCACCCACCCUGCGAUGUGUGUGAGUUUGUGGUGCGGCUAAUGCAACCUCAGGAGGAACGGUUCAUGGCUGUGUGUGUCUGUGGAGUCCCCGAAUGGGAAAUGCUGUGCCGGCGAGGAGCAGGGCUGCAGAGACGAGGGACACUCAUGCUGUGACGUGCGAGCUACCGAGAAAGAACAGAAAAGAUUCACACAUCGAAGAGGUGUCAUCUUUGAAGUCCUAGAUCAGAAAGAAAAAUCAAGUUAAUGAUUGAAGUCAAAUUUAAGUCCAAGUAAUGAUUUGUUUUUUUCACAUUCACUGCCAAUAAAGUCAUAACAUUUUCAACUUUAAGAAAACAUACAGUGUAUGAAAGAGUGAUCUUCCAAAAUAUGCAUGUGGUCACCUCUAACUUGUAACUCAAAACUUAUGUUCACUCUGCAUAGUUUUCUUUUGUAAAGUAAAAUGAACACAUAGAAGUUAUAUACCGAAGCAGACAUGAUCAAACAAGCAAGGCAUCGGAACAAUUUCUAUGACUGUUAGGAAGUUCAACUUAGAAUAUUUUCCCAGCAGAAACUGCCACAUUGUAUUUAAGUAAAAUGAAAUUUUGCAUUUACUAAAACAUGUUAAUACUGGAAUGCCAGGCACUAAACUAAUACACCCACAGUUACAUGUGAGAAUAGAAUUUUUAAAAACUAAACAGCAAAAACAUUUAUGAGCUCAUAGCAUCCCUGAAACCUGUAGCCAACGGCCUCCAAGAACACACUGAAGCAUCCUCGGUGUGCAUGGAAGGAAGCUGUGGCACAGAAAUAAUGACGAAAGCAAAAUGACCGGUAGAUGGGAAUAAAGCAUUACCCUACAUGUAAAAUGUGUUCUUGUUUGAAUAGAUGCAAUUAAAUAUUUGAUGAUUUACACCAGCCCAUUAAAGUGUGAACAUCGUCUAAUUUGUUUUUAUUGGGACAGAGAAACACUCCCCAGGGGUUACAGAGUGUCACAUAUUCCUCUCAGUUCCAUGAAGUUGAAUCAAUCAAAACAGACAACGCCUUUGCCGCGAUAGGAGCUUCUUCCUUCUCUCCGAAUAAUGGUGACCUCGGUGACGAGUUCCUCACGGAGUUUGAGCCAAAUGGGAAUCUAAAUGCAGUGAGACAUCAGCUGCACAGCGUAGGUGCCUGUGACCCCACUCCAGCCGGGGUGCCAUGGACGUCCCCAUCGGCUGCCAGGAAGUCUUCCAAUUCUACCAGCCGAGAUUUAACAUUAGAGCCCAUGUGCGUCACGCACAGGAGCCAGGCUCGACUCUCACACUGCCUGUUGUGGUCUUUAGGGAAAUGAGUGUAAAAUUGGCCCGAGGCCACGGUGGAUGUGUAAAUACACAGCUAUGAACCCAAAGACCCCAGCUCUGCAGGGUGGGAGGGGCUGGGGGCGGUGCUGAGGACGGUGGCAGGAGGCAGGGCUACCACGUGGGACACAGACAGCUCAGUGUUCCUCCCCCAAAAUGGCAUGGACUCCUCCUGCAGACUCUAGCCCUGUCUCCUGCUCCUGCACGUAGCCAACAGGUGAUGUUGGCGUUUCAGGGGUGCGUCAACAGGUGGAGUCCAGGCUGACCGUG